GUGCCGGUUCCUCGUCCGAGGUGAACCCCUGGAAUGUGCUAGCUGAAAAUGUGGGUGUGAAAAGCCAGUCGUCGAAAUACUCGGCUGGCAUGGGCCUGUGUGGGAAAAGUGCAUGGAACUCGUCCUUAAGCCAAGAUUCCUCCAGAGCAUAAUCUGGCACCCAACUGUUGGCGCUAGCCGGGGUACCUUCCUUGGCGAGGAGGUAUUCCACUCCCUCCUCCCCCCAUCUCGAGUCUAAAAUCUCUGUGACUUCGUUGACGGGUUCCCGCCUUGGCGACCCCCCCCUUGUGGGCGUUUCCCUGAACGGGUCUGGUGCCGUUCCUGGCUCCUGAAAUCUAUGAGGUGCUUUGUAGGGCGUGAGCACUGAUCUAUGGAAAACUGGGUGCAUUCUGGAUCCCUCCGGCAGUGUCAACCGGAAGGCCACUGGAUUGACCUGUGCCUCGACUUGGUAGGGUCCUAGCUGCUUAUGCCCUAGCUUCUUCUUCGCUAACGAUCUGGCCGGCACUGCCUGGGCUGCUAACCAAACCCAGUCUCCCACCUGUAUGUCUUCCCCAACCCUUCUGUGCUUGUCAGCCUGCAGUUUGUAUGCGUGCUUUGCUAGUUCUAACUGCCUCCGAAGCUGUUCGUGAACCUCCUGCAACUCUGAUGCUAAGGCUUCCGCUGCCUGUGGCUCCCCCUCCCCCGCUCUCGCUAAUCCCGGGAAGGUUCUGGGAUGCCUCCCGUUGUUGGCGAAGAACGGUGUCACCCCCGUGGACACGUGCUUCGUGUUGUUGUAGGCGAACUCAGCGAGCGGCAGGUAGUCCACCCAUGUUGCCGGCUGCUGAUUUGCGUAGCAUCGCAGGUACUGCUGCAUGAUGGCGUUGACUCGCUCCGCUUGUCCGUUCGUCUGCGGGUGUCUCGCCGACGCUAGGUUGAUCUUGACGUUCAGGAA